rnacentral:rRNA from 1 species
GUUUCCGUAGGUGAACCUGCGGAAGGAUCAUUAUUGAUUGGUCGAAAGACCUUAUCAGAUUCUACCACCUCUGUGAACCGUUGACCUCCGGGUUAAUAAUCAAACAUCAGUGUAACGAACGUAAGAGUAUCUUAAUUAAACAAAACUUUUAACAACGGAUCUCUUGGCUCUCGCAUCGAUGAAGAACGCAGCGAAAUGCGAUAAGUAAUGUGAAUUGCAGAAUUCAGUGAAUCAUCGAAUCUUUGAACGCACCUUGCGCCUUUUGGUAUUCCGAAAGGCAUGCCUGUUUCAGUGUCAUGAAAUCUCAAUCUAAUAUGUUUUCUGAACAUGUUAGGCUUGGACUUGGGUGUCUGCCAGCAAUGGCUCACCUCAAAUGACUUAGUGGAACAUCCCACAUCAGUGUUAGACGUAAUAAGUUUCGUCUCUCCUUGUGGUGAUGACUGCUCAAAACCUGCCAUCGCGCACCUUUUGACUUUGACCUGAAAUCAGGUAGGGCUACCCGCUGAACUUAAG